GCAGAGACAAGAUGCUGACAUUGAUAGAUACAUCAAAGUUCAGGUUUUUAUGACUACUGUAACUUUUAAGUAUCAAUUUUUUUCCAGUGUGUGUGUUUGUGAUUUGUGUUUGUUCUUCUUACCUUGCAUUUACGGUUAGGAAAUUUUACUAUUUACUUAAGGGUGCAGUGUUUCAUUUUAUCCUAUGCGCCGAGGGUCGAAUGGAAACAGCUUCUCUACCCUUUCGGGUAGGG
rnacentral:lncRNA from 1 species